UCUCGGCUCACGGUGUGUGCCAUGACUAGCAUCACUGCGCCCGCCAAUCUGUACGGCGGAAAUAACAACGACAAAGACAACAAUCGCGAGUUGGAAAAGCCCCCGCUAAUCACCGCGGCUAGUGGACGUUUUUUGUGCGCUCGUGUCGCACGAGGAAAUAGUGUGCCACCGCCUCGGGGUGAGGAGUGUAUGAGUGUAGUAACUUCGCCACUGUUGGUGGUAGUCAUCGUCACAGCAUCGACGCUGCCCCAAGCGCUGCGGCUUCUCAACGCUAGUGCACAACAACCGAUUGGGCCGGCUAGGAGCUGUUCUCUAGCAGGAUUGUUUUAUUUUUAUUAUUGCGUUGCUAAUUAAUCGAAAUGCGUAUCUAAUGGUUAUUUAUUUAGCGUACCACACUCCAUUUUUUGACCAAACAACACACACAGGCUCUAGUAGCUCUAUUUGGUGGUAGUGGUGGUGGUGGUGGUGGUCGUGCGAACCCAACUGCGGGGUGUGCGUUGUUGCGAACGAGGAAGAGAGAGCCUGAAGACUUGCGAAGAAGCAUUGGACCGCGAAACAAACCGGCAAACAGCUACCGGUUCACCUUGAAAAUCAAGCCGCGCUAGAAGCUGGGUAAAGGGUAGACCGACAGGCAUCGUAGGGUAGGACUUGAAGCAAAGCAAGACCCCAUCGAGACGUGUUUGCUGUUGCUGCUGCUGCUGAAGAACGGUGCUCUCUCUGAUUGUAGAAAAAAAAACCAACUCAGCUCUGAUUGCAUCCUCACUGGGCAAUAUUUGUGGCUCAUAAAACGGAUCCUCUCUAUUCCAGCUGGGCGACACCACAUAGCGCGCACAAGUCGUUUCAGACGUUUUCCAUAUCUAAGCCUCUCGGGAUCAACAGACGCAUGCAUUGGAGUUUGAAAAUGCAUUCACCGGCAAAACAACAACCGGAUUGUCAAUGCUGGGUCCAUUGUCUCCGGUCUCCGGCAUAUGCAUACCAAAUGUGGGGUGGAGAUGUUGUCGUCGCCAAGGAUCACACGCGCAGAGCCAACGCUUAAUGCACAUUCAAUGCGAACGAACGGCAAUAAAAGGACGCUCUUGCAGAGAGCUUUACGUAGAGAUAAGAUGGGUUUUAACUUCAGCGAAAGAAGUUGACAGUUUUGCAACACAUUAUGAUGAUUGUCAAACAUUAUUCACAUGUUUUUAGAGUACAUUAAUUAUAGUAAGUUAUAAUUUACCAAACUAAGGAUGUUAAAUUCGCUAAAUUCUCA